rnacentral:tRNA from 1 species
GAAAAUGAUAAAUAGAGGCUUCUAACCUUUUAUAUUGCAAUUAAUGUAACAUUUUUC